rnacentral:rRNA from 1 species
UACGGGGGGAGCAAGCGUUGUUCGGAUUUACUGGGCGUAAAGGGCGCGUAGGCGGCACCGCAAGUCGACUGUGAAAUCUCCGGGCUUAACUCGGAAAGGUCAGCCGAUACUGCGGGGCUAGAGUGCAGAAGGGGCAACUGGAAUUCUCGGUGUAGCGGUGAAAUUCGUAGAUAUUCGCAGGAACACCAGUGGCGAAGGCGGCUUACUGGUCCAUUACUGACGCUGAGGUGCGAAAGCGUGGGGAGCAAACAGG